rnacentral:rRNA from 1 species
UACGGAAUGUGCAAACGUUAUUCGGAAUCACUGGGCUUAAAGAGUCCGUAGGCGGCAUGUUAGGUGAGGUGUGAAAUCCCACGGCUCAACCGUGGAAUCGCGCUUCAAACCGGCGUGCUUGAGGAAGAUAGAGGUGGGCGGAACUGAUGGUGGAGCGGUGAAAUGCGUUGAUAUCAUCAGGAACUCCGGUGGCGAAGGCGGCCUGUUGGAUCUCAUCUGACGCUGAGGCGCGAAAGCCAGGGGAGCAAACGGG